rnacentral:rRNA from 1 species
AACGAACGCUGGCGGCGUGGAUAAGACAUGCAAGUCGAACGAGAACUUUUCCUAUAGCAAUACAGGGAAAGUUUAGUGGCGAACGGGUGCGUAACACGUGGGCAAUCUGCCGAAAAGUGGGGGAUAGCUCGCCGAAAGGCGAAUUAAUACCGCAUGUGGUGAGGGGGGACAUCUUCCUGAAUCCAAAGCCGGGGCGACCUGGCGCUUUUUUGAGGAGCCCGCGGCCUAUCAGCUAGUUGGGAGGUAACGGCUCACCAAGGCUUUGACGGGUAGCUGGUCUGAGAGGACGACCAGUCACACUGGAACUGAGACACGGUCCAGACACCUACGGGUGGCAGCAGUCGAGAAUUUUUCUCAAUGGGGGCAACCCUGAAGGAGCGACG